CCAAUAGCGUAUAUUAAAGUUGUUGCAGUUAAAAAGCUCGUAGUUGAAUUUCGGGAUCAAUACGUCGGUCAUGCUUUUUGGUACGAACUGGCGUCAUUGGUUUCUCCUUUCUGACGAACCAUGAUGUCAUUAAUUUGGUGUUAUGGGGAGUUGGGACUGUUACUUUGAAAAAAUUAGAGUGUUUAAAGCAGGCAUAAGCUUGAAUACAUUAGCAUGGAAUAACUAAAUAGGACGUUCGAGCCUAUUUUGUUGGUUUCAAGGAUCAACGUAAUGAUUAAUAGGGAUAGUUGGGGGCAUUAGUAUUCAAUUGUCAGAGGUGAAAUUCUUGGAUUUAUUGAAGACUAACUACUGCGAAAGCAUUUGCCAAGGAUGUUUUCAUUAAUCAAGAACGAAAGUUAGGGGAUCGAAGACGAUCAGAUACCGUCGUAGUCUUAACCAUAAACUAUGCCGACUAGGGAUCGGAUGAUGUUAAUUUUUUAAUGACUCAUUCGGCGCCUUACG
rnacentral:misc_RNA from 1 species